UUUAAAGAAAAUAAAAUAGCAAAAGAGCCUCUUGCAGCAAUUUCAGCUCUUAGAAUUAAAGGAUUUGUGGAAAAAGUUAAUAAUGCUGAAA
rnacentral:snoRNA from 1 species